rnacentral:rRNA from 1 species
AUACGGAGGGUGCAAGCGUUAAUCGGAAUUACUGGGCGUAAAGCGCGCGUAGGCGGUUUGAUAAGUCGGAUGUGAAAUCCCCGGGCUCAACCUGGGAAUUGCAUUCGAUACUGUCAGGCUAGAGUGUGGCAGAGGGAAGUGGAAUUUCCGGUGUAGCGGUGAAAUGCGUAGAUAUCGGAAGGAACACCAGUGGCGAAGGCGGCUUCCUGGACCAACACUGACGCUGAGGUGCGAAAGCGUGGGGAGCAAACAGGAUUAGAAACCCCAGUAGUCC